rnacentral:rRNA from 1 species
GACGAACGCUGGCGGCGUGCUUAACACAUGCAAGUCGAACGGAAAGGCCCUGCUUUUGUGGGGUGCUCGAGUGGCGAACGGGUGAGUAACACGUGAGUAACCUGCCCUUGACUUUGGGAUAACUUCAGGAAACUGGGGCUCAUACCGGAUAGGAGCUCUUGAUGCAUGGUGGGGGUUGGUAAGUUUCGGCGGUUGGGGAUGGACUCGCGGCUUAUCAGCUUGUUGGUGGGGUAGUGGCUUACCAAGGUUUUGAAGGGUAGCCGGCCUGGGAGGGUGACCGGCCACAAUGGGACUGAGAUACGGCCCAGACGCCUACGGGAGGCAGCAGUGGGGAAUAUUGCACAAUGGGCGGAAGCCAGAUGCAGCAACGCCGCGUGCGGGAUGACGUCCUUCGGGUUGUAAACCACUGUCGCCUGUGACAAAGCGUUAGUGACGGUAAUGGGUAAGGAAGCACCGGCUAACUACGUG